CUUUUAAUCUCCCCUUUUUUUUUUCCUUUGACCCCCUUUUUUUUUCCUUUUCACCCCCUUUUUUUCUUCACCCCAUUUUUUUCCCUUCAUCUCCCCUUUCCCUCCCAUAAUCAAUUAAGCUGUAAAAUGCCUCAGAGAUAAAAGACUCCAGCCUUGAUGAAGCUCCUCUUCAUGCCCCAUUUUUCUCCCCUUUCUCUUUGUUUUUUUCCCCCUUCACCUCCUAUUUCUUUCCCGAAUCACAGAACCAGUUAGGCUGGAAAAGACCUCUGAGCUCAUUGAUGAAGUUCCCCUUCAUUCUCCCUUUCCCCCCCUUUAUUUCUCUGUCACCCCUCUUUUUUCCCCUUUUACCCCCUUUUCCCCCUCCCUUUUAUUUUUCUUUACAUUCUGCACAUGUAUAAUUUUCCUCCCUCUGUCCAGGAGGUUGGGAGCGAGUUGAAACCUGUUAAUCACUCACCUCCCCUCCAUUUAAAAUACCCAAAAAUUGGCUGUGAAUUGCCUAUAAAAAAGGGGUGUGACUGGCUAUGUGUUAAAAUACCCAAAAAAAGUGCUCUAAAACAUCUGGCUCAGGACAGACCUGCCUGUGACUGAGGUGCUCAGGCCCUUUUUCGUGUAAAUAAUAAUUAAGGGACAGAAAUAAUUCAGCUCAGGACUCUUCCUCCAUUUGAGGUGACCAAGUUAAGCUUUCUUGCAGCUGCAGGUGAUUUUUGUUGCAUGGGGAGAUGUUUUCUCUGUCCAAGUUUGGGAACUCUGCUUUGUGUUUGUGUUAUUUUUUUUUCUCCUUCACUGGACUGUUAUUUCCAGGAUUUGGGAUUUUUAAUCCCUCAGGCAGGGCCUGGCUGUUGAGGUUUUGUUUCUAAGCCUUGCUGGUCUCUGAGCAUGGUUUUAGAUCCUCUUCCCAGAUCCUGAGAGCAUUCCCCAUGUGAACUUCAUCCUUUCUUCUCCUUCACCCACAUCACAACUUCCAAAUCCUCUCACAGUGAAGUUUCAAUUCCCAAAUAUUGAGGAAAUAGGCUGCUUCUGAAGUUGAUCUGUGGGAAAAAACCACACAGUUCAGAUAUUUUGUGUUACCCAGUGCCCAAGUGAUUGGAUUUGUGUGUCUGCUCUCAUGGAUCUCUUCAUCAGCUCGUUUUGCCUGUGAAUCCAAACCAGGUUUUUGGGCAGGACUCUGAGGCUGCUCUGGGUUUGUUGUGGAUGAGCUGCUUGCCAGACUCCAGAAUCCAAGAAGAAUUCCAAGAGGGAAUCCCUUGCAGUGCCAGAUGGAACCCAGGGAGCUGUGGGCUGUGUUUGGUGGAGCUCUCAGCGUGUCCUGAUCCACGCUGACAUUUUGAUGUCAAUGAAAUUCCAUCUUUUUUCCCUCCUGGAAGAAAAAAAAGAUGUAGCUGUACAAAAACCCUGUGGAUGCUGUGGAUGGCAGGUGGAUUCCAUCUCAGUAGGAUUGGGAAUUCCAGCACCUCCUUCCCUUCUUGUUUUGCACCCUUUCUCACCCUUUUGCCGGGGUGUGGAGCCUGGUUUUGUGCUGGAGGAUGGCAGCAGGAGCCUCCUUGGUUCAGAGCAUUAUUUUUGUUGUUGUUUUUGUUUGGCAGAUGUGUGAAUUGUUUGUGUGCUGCCUAUAAAUAAUAAAUGGGUUGCUCAGAUCCUGCAGCGACUCGGAGGGAAACUCAACUUGUUCAGACCUACAAAAUUCAGCUGACCUCAAACACAGAAGGGAAAAGCCAUGAAAGUGUAUUUUCACUCACAGACCACGCUUGCUUGUGAUCCAAUCCAGGAGUAACCGAGUCCCUCCCACUGUUCAUUACAUAAGCAUCUAAUUAAAGGAAUCAAACAGGGAUGACUUGGAAAACUUCAUACUCUGGGUCAAAAAUACUUGCAAAACCACAGCCCCGAGUGCCCAUGUUUUAUUGAUGCUGGGGAGUGCUGUGUAAAUGAAGAAGUUUAUUCUUGGUGUCAGCCUUUAGAGUCUCCUGCUGCUUCUGCAGUCGCUUCCUCGGGCACCAGGAAAAUCCUUUCACUCCUGAUUUCCCUUUGGAAGGAGAAGGGACUUCAUAGUGCUGCUCCCUUCCCUCCCUGGAAGGAGCUGUGGAUUCAGAGCUCUUCUUGUGGUCGCUUUGGGUUGAAAGUUGGGUUAUUUUCAGGCUUAUCAAUUCUGCAUCAUGAGCAUUCCCGUGGAUUUAGGGGUAGAUUGUGAUUUUGGUCCCUUGCUCCGGAAGGAAACUGUGAAUUUCCCUGGGAAUGGUUGGAAUACUUCAGCCCUGAUAAUCAGAAGUGUAUGCAGAUGGAGGUGGUGGUGGAGAGACGUGAAAGACACCUGAAGAACAGAAUGUGGCAGCAAAUAAAAAUCCAUGGUCCAUUUUCAGCUUAUGGGGUGGGGUUGUGAGAGGGGCUGUGGAAGGCUGGAAUUCCCUCAGGAUUUGCACACCAUGCUCAAAGCAGGGAAAGCACAGCGUGAGGGUGGGUCAGGGCUGGAAUUCCAGGAUGCUCAGUUCUGGCUGCUCUCUCUGGGUGUGCAGAGUCCCCUGUGGGAGGCAGCCGGGUCCCGAGGGACACGGAGAGCACCUGGCCUGCUCAGCAGGCUCUGUCAGUGUGGGAUCAGUUUAAACCCAGCUUUAGACCUGAAAGACUGGCAGGCAAAUCUCUCUGGUGUAGUUGGGCUGGAAAUGCAAUUUUUUCCCCUCCAGAAAACACAAAUUUUGAUGUGAGGCUGCGAGUGUGACGUGGGAUUUUCUCAUGGGGUUUUCUCACCUACCUGCUGGGUUUGCACAGGGUCAGUUUCCCUUUUUGGGGUCAUGGAGUCAUCAUGGAAUUGUGGAAUGGUUUGGGCUGGAAGGACCUUA